rnacentral:rRNA from 1 species
AGUGAACGCUAGCGGCAUGCUUAACACAUGCAAGUUGAACGAAGUUAAUAGUUUUCGGAUUAUUAACUUAGUAGCAAACGGGUGAGUAAUGUAUAGGAACUUGCCCUAGAGUGGGGGACAGCUUUUGGAAACGAAGAUUAAUACCGCAUAUACCAUUUAUGGGAAAGUCGUAAGACGCUCUAGGAUAGGCCUAUAUCCGAUUAGCUUGUUGGUGAGGUAAUGGCUCACCAAGGCUGUGAUCGGUAGCCGAUCUGAGAGGAUGAUCGGCCACACUGGAACUGAGACACGGUCCAG